rnacentral:rRNA from 1 species
CUCGGAGUUUGAUCCUGGCUCAGAUUGAACGCUGGCGGAAUGCUUUACACAUGCAAGUCGAACGGUAGAGGGGGCAACCCCUUGAGAGUGGCGAACGGGUGAGUAAUAUAUCGGAACGUGCCCAGUCGUGGGGGAUAACGUAGCGAAAGUUACGCUAAUACCGCAUACGAUCUAAGGAUGAAAGCGGGGACCGUAAGGCCUCGUGCGAUUGGAGCGGCCGAUGUCAGAUUAGGUUGUUGGUGAGGUAAAGGCUCACCAAGCCAACGAUCUGUAGCUGGUCUGAGAGGACGACCAGCCACACUGGAACUGAGACACGGUCCAGACUCCUACGGGAGCAGCAGUAGGGAAUAUUGGGGCAAUGGACGCAAGUCUGACCCAGCCAUGCCCGCGUGCAGGAUGAA